rnacentral:rRNA from 1 species
CCUACGGGUGGCAGCAGUGGGGGAUAUUGCACAAUGGGGGGAACCCUGAUGCAGCGACGCCGCGUGGGUGAAGGAGUGCUUCGGCAUGUAAAGCCCUAUCGGCAGGGAAGAAGCAAGACGGUACCUGACUAAGAAGCCCCGGCUAACUACGUGCCAGCAGCCGCGGUAAUACGUAGGGGGCAAGCGUUAUCCGGAUUUACUGGGUGUAAAGGGAGCGUAGACGGCAGUGCAAGUCCGGAGUGAAAGCCCGGGGCUCAACCCUGGGACUGCUCUGGAAACUGCAAAGCUGGAGUGCGGGAGGGGCAGGCGGAAUUCCUGGUGUAGCGGUGAAAUGCGUAGAUAUCAGGAGGAACACCGGCGGCGAAGGCGGCCUGCUGGACCGUAACUGACGUUGAGGCUCGAAAGCGUGGGGAGCAAACAGGAUUAGAUACCCCAGUAGUC